rnacentral:rRNA from 1 species
UACGGGGGGAGCAAGCGUUGUUCGGAUUUACUGGGCGUAAAGGGCGCGUAGGCGGCCUCCGCAAGUCAGUUGUGAAAUCUCCGAGCUUAACUCGGAAAGGUCAACUGAUACUGCGGGGCUCGAGGCUGGAAGAGGGCAGUGGAAUUCCCGGUGUAGCGGUGAAAUGCGUAGAUAUCGAGAGGAACACCUGCGGCGAAGGCGGGUUGCUGGGCUGACACUGACGCUGAGGCGCGAAAGCUAGGGGAGCGAACGGG